CAACCACAAAAAAAGAACUCAAGCGGUUCCUGGGUCUUGUGGGGUACUACCGCAGUUUUUGUAAGAACUUUUCUACGGUGGUUUCUCCACUGACAGAUUUGCUGAAGGAUAAGGUGAAGUACACCUGGUCAGCUUCCUGUCAGAAAGCUUUUGAUGAUGUCAAAUCUGUUCUCUGUUCUUCCCCUGUCCUUGCAGCUCCACGACUGGAUCAUCCUUUUGACCUGCAUGUGGAUGCAAGUGAUGUAGGUGCAGGUGCUGUCUUAUUUCAGCAAGAUGAUGAUGGGGUUGAUCGACCUGAAACGGGGGAAUGGCCUGUUAAUUGAACGCACCGGGUGGCUGAUAAAUACUGACGUCCUGUCAGUCACUGGGUCUGCUUGGUUGGCCUCCGGACCAGACCGGGACAAGCAGCAUUGGUCCACAUCUCUCUCGGACUGGCUGAGCAGUUCACCCAGCGCAUUUUUGGAUAAAAAUAAAUUGUUGUGUCUGUGGA